CCCUCACUGGGGGGCGCGAAGCAGCGCCGCCAUGUUCCUCCGAAGGGACGGCGAGGGCCGGCGGUGUCGGGACGUUUAAAGGGCAAAUUAAAGUUAUCUGGUGGCUGCGGGGAACGCGAUGUCAGAGCAUGUGCCUGCUGUAUUAAUAGCUCGCGGGAGGCACCCGAGGGGACCGAGGGAGCUGUCAGGAAUACCUCGGGCUGCAAUAACUGUUUGUAGGGGCUGGCGGCGGGCAUUGAGGGUGCUGGAGGUGCGGGCUUUGUGUGCAUGGCCUCCAGCCUCUGCUGUGUGUGUGCUGCAGGAGGGCGGCGGGCUGACGGGGAGGUGAUAGGAGAACCAGAGAAUGGCCUGGGUUGAAAAGGACCACAGUAAACAUCGAAUUUCAGCCCCCCUGCUAUGUGCAGGAUCACCAGUCAACAGACCAGGCUGCCCAGAGCCACAUCCAGCCUGGCCUUGAAUGCCUCCAGGGAUGGGGCAUCCACAGCCUCCUUGGGCAACCUGUGCCAGUGCUGUGGUGUGCACGUGUCUGAGAACUAGAGGAACUAGAAGCAGGUGAGGCCUCUGCGAGGCAAGGACACAGAACCUCUUUGCGUCUGAUGCAGUGUGAGCCUGCCAGCCUUGAGGUGUUCAACAUCCCAGCGUGCUCCAGAGGCUGCCUUGCCACAGAGGAGGCAGCGUGACCUCCUGCAGCGUGCCCUGGUUUCAACCUGACAAGGUCAGACCCUCUGCAUGCACUGCAGUCAGGCCCCCCUGCAGGAAGCACGUGCUUGGGAAUGCUCAGGCUGCUUGGCUCACACCCUGUGUGAGGGCUGCAGCAAAACCUUGCCUCUCUUCAGUGUAUAGGGAAGCACUUGAGACUCAGAUGCAGAUUAUGUGGCCUUCUUCACGUGUUCCCUCUGGCUGAUGUCUGUGCAAGCUUGUGAUUCUACCUGGCAACAAGUAGCUGUAUGAAAGCCAGUGCAACAGACUGUAAGUGUAUACUAAGGAAUUUGCUUUAAAACAGUCAUCAUAUGUGGUUCCAGGAUGAUACUGUACUGAGGAAAGCUGAGGUUAAUAAGGUCAGCUUUAAUUCAGUAAUAAGUAUCAAUAAUUGAAAUAGAAUUCAUCUCAAUGUAGGUGCUGAAAGAUUGGCUGUUCCAUGAAGAGACAUUCCCUUCAGGACAGCAAAUCUCUUCUCGCUGACGUCUGUGUUCACACAAGGCAAUGAAACUAAAUUUGAUCCCUAGCCUCUCUUGCUCUCUGCUGCUCUCCAGUCUGUUGAGGUAGAGGUCUUUUCUCAUGAACUUCAGAAACAGCAGCUUUAACCCUGCGUACCUAAGCCACCAUGAGCAAGAUGGAGUCUUUCCCCAGUUCUAAGAAAUGGGAAGAGAGGUCACCUGAAGAGACCUUUUUUUCCAAGCAAGAGCUGAAAACAGGUGCAAACUGGAAGCACAGGGGACCCCUAAAGUUAGACUGUGAGUUGAGGGGUUCACUGUUUAACAGGCGUAGGUACUCUUGACCUUUGCUUUUUCUUCCUCAUGCUUAACUCACCAAGUGUGGUGUCUCCUCUUUUCACAGGAAAGUAAAAAUCCUCUUGACACCUCAAGGCUUCUGCUGCUGGUUUCACAUGAACCCACGGGAUGGCAGUGUUUGCAGUGCUGCCCAGCUGGAUGAGGUCUCCUCAGUGCAUGCAGGCAGGAGAUGAAAUGCACUUUGUAAAGGACCUUCUGCUAACUCUACCAGCACUACUGAACAAGGAUAGGGAUUUCCAUCCGAUAGCAGACACAAGGGGGAGCACGAGCAGUCUAAGAGAUUUGUGGGGUUGCAGUAGAUUCUCCGUGUCAGAUUGGUUUAUGUUUGUGGCGAGUUCCUCCUACGUAAGUGGAGAAGCCUGUGAGGGGAUGCACAAAAUGGCAGUCUGAAAAUGUCACCAAUAUGAAGUGAAGGCUAAUCUCAUGCUCUGACCCAUCAGGCUGGAGACAGGAGCCAGCAUUUUCACAACGGGCUGUGCAGGGCUGUGAGACUACAAAGAGUAACUUAGGUCGUGUGUUGGAGAACUGUGAGCUGGUGGAAGGAUGCAAAGAUGGGGUUUAUACAGUAAAGAUAGUGGGCUGUAUCUACGCAGUAUGUUCUAGGUGUGUAAGAGGAUUUUAAGACUGCAUUUCUCAGACCAGACAGAAAGAAAUGUAACUAAAGUGAUGAGACCUUGAAUCAGGGCACUGUCUGUGUGGACGCAUGGGGAAAGCACACCUCAGCCUUAAUAUGUGGGAAUGGAACACCAAGAUUUGCAGCUGAUACAUGAAACUCUAGGGACAAGAUGAAAGUUGGAGAUGGACACUCAGUGACCAGCUUAGAGAGUAAUCCAUAGUGAUGAAUAAAGAAGGCACCAUGAAGGAUGGAGGAUCUGAAGAGAAUAAAUCUUUUUAUUCAUUUUUAUUUGCUUUCUCUCUCUUUUUUCCCCCCAUCUUUUUCAGCUGAAAUUCUUGAUUACUUGUUUUCUUCACAAACCAUUUUCUUCUAAAACUGCUGGGAGCAGAGCUAAUCAAGACUCCUGAGUAAAGGUUUUUAUUUCACCAGUUGCCUGAAUUACUAAAGCAUAAGCAAGAACAUGUAUUCAUUUAUGUAAAACUGUCCUUAGUCCCAGCAUAUAUAUGCAUGAAAUAAAGAGGUCUGCCAGACAGAACUUCCAGGACUGAGGCGCUUAUGUUGAAAGCUGUAACCAAACCAAUGAGAAGAGUGGUUGAGAUGAUCUAUAGACAUCAGAGCUUAUUCUUGCUGCACUGUGAACAAGAUAUCCUGAGCGGAAGGAAUUAUUUUAACACCUAUCAGAAAUGACCUAGGCAAAGCAGAGAGAGAUGUAAGGGGUAGGUACUGCGUAGAUGACUGUUGCAAAGUUGAUUUCAUGCUUUAAGUGUCCGUGUCACUGCACAGAAUACAGGUGAGUGAAGAUGUUUCCACUGCUAUUCUGUAACAAGCUGAAAAUGCACAGCAGACCAUUGUCAAGCUGAAGAAUUCUAUGCAGCAGUUUUUGACGCUGCUGCCUCUUGUGUGGUUUGAUCUAGACAGCCACAGACCUUUGGGCAGUCAUGACGGUUGGAUUGGUUGAUACACAACUGAAAGAGUUUGCAAAGGAAUUAAGUAGCUUCUGCAUGUCUCCAUGGGCCUGACAGGAAGUGAUACUGUGUCUUUGCAUUGGGUAAUGUAGGACCCUCCAGUGGCUUAUGAAUCUAACCCAAAGCUUAGUGUUUGAACCAGACAAAAGAUACCUUCAAAGGAGAUGUCUGAGACCAAUUUGAAAUAGCAAGUGGCGUCCAAGCUGUUUGUGGAGUAUUUUACUGCUUCAGAGCUCACUCUGGGAAAGAUGCAAUUUGAGUCCCAACUCAAAAAAUUCCUUUGGAUUUCAAUUUGCCAAACUGAGCUGGUGUGCAGGAUAUGAGAGGGAAAAAAAUGAUGGGGGUGGAAGCAGAAGUCAGGAAAUAGAUGAUGUGGCAUGCUGCCUCAGCAUGAUAAAAACAUAAUGUGUCUCAGUCAUUGCUGGGGUAGCGCUUCUUGGGAAUACAUUUAGUGCAGGAGCACAAGAAAAGCACUAUCUACCUCUGAUUCAAAGGAAAAAUAAGACUUUUUAGUAUUUGAUCAUAAGUCGGGAGAAAUAAAUACUGAUUACACUAACAUUUAUUAUUAUAGACUCUUAAAUGUUGCUGUAUUGUUUGGAAUUGAUGUGCCUAGUGUGUACAGUUGUAUUAUAAGUAAGUAUGAAUGAGUAUAUGAUGUAAAAGUGUCCUAAGUAGAUUUCUCUUUAUAUCCUCCCCUUUCUCCUCCAUUUCUACAACACCCUCAUUUCCAGCGAGCAGCAGAGAUCUCCUUGGCGCAGCUUAGGGGAAAACUAACCUAAAGCUGUGCACUUUCUCCUACUGGGCACUGCUCAGCAGGGGAGGCUGUUCCUAGCUUCAGCCAGUAGUAAUAGGGGCGGCAGGAGGUCUCUUACAGCGGAGGAUGUGAAGCAUGCAUUUGCAUAGGCUGCUUUUCCUUGCCUCCCCUCUGCUCUCCAGCAAGCACGGGUUUAUUUUAGCAUUGGCCUUCUGAAGCAGGAUUGUUUUUCCCCUGAAUAGGUCAGGCUGGGAUAGCGCCAGGAUACAUGGCCUUCCAUAGCUGGGGUGACUCGGGAAGCCGGAGAUACCUACUAAGUAGACAGUGCCUCUAACUGCUGGGCCUGUGCCCAAUGUCAGAGGAGUAUCCUAAAAUAACCUUUGUGAUAAACGGCGGAGACAGCCCUAGGCAGAGGGACUUUUUCUGAGGCUGGUGUCAAGCCGAAACAGGUUAUGGUGCUGCCCUCUGUUGUUGGAAUUCAAAAAAGCUCAUACAAGGCUAUGCUGAAAUUCAGGCGAACAUUAAUAAAACGUGGCUUACAAGCACUUGAGAUGAAGUUACAAAGAAAGCUAGAAUCACUGAUCUAGUAAAUGCGUAUGUUUGGUGGCCCUGCUACGCAGGGGGGUUGGAACUACAUGAUCCUUGAGGUCCCUUCCAACCCAGGUCAUUCUGUAAUCAUUCAAGGUCACUCUUUUUUGAGUAAAGGGUGCAGAGAAUCGUCUGGAACUUUUCUCCCAUAGCUAAUUUGUAAACCAGUGUGGAAGCAAAAUGAAAGCAGUCUGAUAUUUCCAUCUGAACUGGAGGGAAAUCCCAUCAAGAAGCAUUUCCUAGUCCUAAUGUAAUGCAACCUUGCCAGACCUGGAGGUGGCUCCAAACCCUUGCACAAAUGCAGAUAUAUGUGGCAGCUAUUGAAAGCAAACAUACUGUCCAGACUCUGUUGUUGAUGGUUCUUUCUUAUUUAACUAAAGGAGCUCAAUUCUAUGAUAAUUCUCAGCGUUGCUUGAGGAAUACAAGUGAUGGCCCCCUUUCAAAGAGGAAAAAAAAAUUCUCACUUUCUGUCUGGUACCAAAUACUAGAAAAUUGUAGUUGUAUUCUGCAUUCUCUUCCUGAUGGUAAAGGCACUAAAUAAAAGCAGAACUGAUCCAAAACUGUGACACAGCUGGUGUUGUACAGUGAUAAGUAACAUCAAUCUUGUAAGCAACGUGACAGGUUGUUUUUACAGUGUGCAGAGGUUUGUGUGUUUGUGGUCACUCAUUUAUGCAGCCACGUCAUGGAUAUUGAAAUGAAUCAAACCUUCUGUCAAAAUGUGUGAGUCAAUUAAUGAUUUUUGGAAGUAGAAGUGGUUGUAACAAAUGAGGUGUGAGGCUCAUCAUUGGCUGCCUCUGCCUUCAGGAGCUAAUAUUUUGAUUUCAGUUGAGGAAUACUUUUUCUAUAGUCUUGCAACUUCAAAUGGCCUGUAAACCUGAGGCCUUUUGUCUUUGUGUUGUAAACAAUAAUCAGGCCAGUCUAACUCUUGACCCAUCCGGUCAAAGAUACUGAACCAGUUAAAGGCCCUGUUUAACUUUUCUUUCUGCUUGCUUUGCUCUUCAGUUUUUGGACCAUUUACCCACAUUUGCCAGAUUCUGAAAGCUGAUGAGGAAGGAGAGACCCUAUACCACUGGCUGGCUGAGAUGCUUAUUUGUGCAGGCAAUAUUUGCUCCUCAGCCAGGAUGGAAGGGGGAGCUGGUUGACUAGAGCAGUGAUCAUAAUCUUCUCACAUGCCAGGUUUUUUGUUUGAUGUGUAUUUGCUUCCAUCAUAUCUACAUCAGCAACAGAAGAAAGAAAGAUGAAAAAAAAAAAUACAUCUGUUUUAUGUGUAGUCUCAGUAACUGAAAAUAUUGGUUGGAAAAAAUAAAUGGGUAAACUCUGAUCAUGCUUUGUUUUUUCCUUCUUAGAUUUCACAGGGAUGGGAGAAUCAGUACAUCUGCUAUGACUGCAAUCAAAGCCAGCUUGGCAAAGUUGUUUCAGUCUGAUUUCAUUCCACUUGGCCACACUCUGCUAAGUGUCUGUCUAAUCACAUUUAUUGUGUUUAAUUUGAGAACCAUUUGUGGACAUAAACUGUUGGUGAAGCUCAAAACAAAGGAAAUUCACCUGAGAGAAGAAAGGUCCCGUCUCCUCUUAAGUCAGCAUUAGCAGUCAUGCAGCCUGCAAAAAGCAAAGUUUCCAGCAUGUCCCCUAUAGUGAGUUGAAGCUGUUAUGCAGGCACAAGCAUGAGAAUGGCUGGCUGUCUGAGGGGAGGGAAAAUGACAGAAGUGACAUUACUGGAAUAGACAUGUCAAUUUGUGGCAUAGCUGGGUAGUUCUUAUGCUGCGGCUGUACUUCAUUCUUAUAUACCCUUCAUUAAUCUCUUCUACCUCCUCAUAUUUCCUUCUGAAUAACUACUGUCACUGUAUGGUCUGAAACUCUUUAGCUUUAGAGCAACUAGAUAGAGAAAACUGUAUAUGGAAAAAGAAUGCAAAGGUUCGGUUCUCUGGAUUCUGUUAACAAGAAUAAGGGGCUUAACUUUUUGCAAAACUACAUAUAGAAGUUGCUCCUGGAUCAUGCAUUUCAGCAUAAUAUGGAUUAGGCAGGUUCCGUUUUUUCUUUGUGGUAUUUCUUAACUGAUUUGUGGUUAAAUCUGAAGCAUGUAUAUUAGGAAGAGGAAAGCUUUCCAUACAAGGUUUGCCUUCUGUGGAAAACAAGAUGGUAUUUUUGGAAUGUCCUUGCCGCUAGAUGGCAGGGCACACUUGGAAUAAAGGAAGCAGCGAACAGGCUGUAUUCAGCACUGAUUUGUUUUCAGCGUAGAAAACGCCUCAUUGAGCUUGUCAAAAGCUUAGUUGGAGUGAGGAGCUGCUGGAGUGUUGGAUAGAACUGUAAUUGUAUCAUGACCCCUUGACAGCACUGCCGUACAGUUUUGUUAUUUUCUGCAGUACAAUAGAUAUCUUAAUUGAAUUCCUCAAAGCUCAGCUUAAUAAGAUAAUAAGGAAAAGCUGAGCAUUAACUGCAAUUAAACUAUAAGCCAAUGCUGAUGAAUUUGUUAAAGAAAUCUCUGCCCCUCAUGCACGUGCCACACUCGCUGUGCCAAAUUCUCAGUUACUCAGUCAGUCCUUGAAGUAAAUUGCAAAGAGAAGACUGGCUCAAGUGCUGACCUUGGAAUCUGGCUUAAAAUAGUUUGGACGGGCAGUUUGCUGCAGGUGGCAGAUUCAGAUAGCAUUUAUAAGAGUUAGAGUGUGAAAUUUUCACACUUUCACAUCAUUUAUGGUAACCCUAAUAAGUUCAGUUGAAUGAAACUUGCAUAGUGGUGCUGAGAAGCAGGGUGUUUAUGCUGUUCAGCUGGAGUUGCUAUAGUCUUCAG